rnacentral:rRNA from 1 species
AAAGGAAUAGACGGGGGCCCGCACAAGCGGAGGAACAUGUGGUUUAAUUCGAUGAUACGCGAGGAACCUUACCCGGGCUAGAACGUGGAUGGAAUAUAUGGGAAACUGUAUAGCUGUUUAUAGCAGCCGUCUGCGAGGUGCUGCAUGGUUGUCGUCAGCUCGUGCCGUGAGGUGUCGGCUUAAGUGCCAUAACGAGCGCAACCCUUAUUGUUAGUUGCCAGCGGGUCAUGCCGGGGACUCUAGCAAAACUGCCUGCGUAAGCUGUGAGGAAGGUGGGGAUGACGUCAAAUCAGCACGGCCCUUACGUCCGGGGCGACACACGUGUUACAAUGGGGGGUACAGAGGGUAGCUACCACGCGAGUGGAUGCCAAUCUCGAAAACCUCUCUCAGUUCGGAUCGAAGUCUGCAACUCGACUUCGUGAAGCCGGAUUCGCUAGUAAUCGCGCAUCAGCCAUGGCGCGGUGAAUACGUUCCCGGGCCUUGUACACACCGCCCGU